rnacentral:rRNA from 1 species
AUUGAACGCUGGCGGCAUGCCUUACACAUGCAAGUCGAACGGCAGCACGGGGCAACCUGGUGGCGAGUGGCGAACGGGUGAGUAAUGCAUCGGAACGUACCUUUCAGUGGGGGAUAACGUAGCGAAAGUUACGCUAAUACCGCAUAUUCUGUGAGCAGGAAAGCAGGGGAUCGCAAGACCUUGCGCUGAUUGAGCGGCCGAUGUCAGAUUAGCUAGUUGGUGAGGUAAAGGCUCACCAAGGCGACGAUCUGUGGCGGGUCUGAGAGGAUGAUCCGCAACACUGGAGCUGAGACACGGUCCAGACUCCUACGGGAGGCAGCAGUGGGGAAUUUUGGACAAUGGGGGCAACCCUGAUCCAGCCAUGCCGCGUGAGUGAAGAAGGCCUUCGGGUUGUAAAGCUCUUUCGGCCGGGAAGAAAUCGCACGGGCUAAUACCCUGUGUGGAUGACGGUACCGGAAUAAGAAGCACCGGCUAACUACGUGCCAGCCGCCGCCGUAACAC